rnacentral:rRNA from 1 species
UACAGAGGGUGCGAGCGUUAAUCGGAAUUACUGGGCGUAAAGCGUGCGUAGGCGGAUACUUAAGUCGAAUGUGAAAGCCCCGGGCUCAACCUGGGAACUGCAUCCGAUACUGGGUAUCUGGAGUAUGGUAGAGGAAAGUGGAAUUCCCGGUGUAGCGGUGAAAUGCGUAGAUAUCGGGAGGAACAUCAGUGGCGAAGGCGACUUUCUGGACCAAUACUGACGCUGAGGAGCGAAAGCGUGGGGAGCGAACAGG